rnacentral:lncRNA from 1 species
GAAAUGAGUUGGUGCCCUACAACCUUCUAAGGAGUCCCAAAACACUGGCUUCUCUGGACUUUGCACACCUCCAGGAGAAGAACCCAGAAAAUUGAUCAGUUCUAAAAAACCAUGCCCCACGUGAGUUGCUGUUUCUUUCCUUGUUGAAGUACAAUCAUUUUGUUGUGUAAUGUGAACACCAGAUUUAUCCCAGAAUUUCCUGCCUUGUUUGGUUCCUUAAGGGAACUGCUUCCAAACGUCUCCCAUUCUAGCGAGUAAUAGUAGCAAAGAGCCCAAUUCUUCUCAAUGCUUUUCCCCUCUCCAAACAGUUUUCAGAUAUUCAUUCAGCAGAUAAUUCUACAUUGUCCACAGGCAUAGUCUUCUGCCCAGAACUCUGAGGGAACAGAAAUACCUCCUUUUAAGAUUGGUACACAUUAGUACCACGGUUUGGUGAGGUAGAGAUGAGUGUUUAAAUGUGAUACAUGACAAAAUUUGAUCUUCUCUACAAUCCUGGGUUUUCCAUUUGAAAGUGAUAGCAUUUUUUUGUUGGAUGUUCCUAGUCUCAGUGUGUGGCAAGAUUUUCUGUGAAAGUUUGAAAAUUGGUUGGGAAUUGGGUUCUAUGAAGGAGGGAGUCUUGUUGCUGAUAUAGUUUCCUGUUGCUGCCGUUACUAAUAACCACUAAUUCAGUGGCUUAAAUCAAUAUAAUUAUGAUUUAUACCUCUGCUGGUCAGAAGUCUGAAAUCAGUCUGAAAGGGCUAAUAUCAUAGUAUUAGCAGAGCCAUGUUCCUUCUGGAGGUUCUAGAGGACUGGAGAAUCUGUUUCCUUGUCCUUUUCUGGUUCUAAAGGCUGUCCACGAUCCCUGGGGUGUGGCUUCCAUCCAUUUUCAAAGCCAGCAAUCACAUUUUGACUUGUGCUUUCAUCAUCACGUUUCCUUUUUUUACUCACCUGCCUCCCUCUAUCACUUACAAAUACAUUGGGCCCAACCAGAUAAUCCAGGAUAACCCCCUCUCAAGAUCCUUAAUUUAAUUGCACUUCUAAAGUCCCCUUUGCCAUGUAAGGUAAGGUAUACAUAGGUUUUGUAACGAAAUUCAGGUCCAGACCACUUGUCACUUGAAAGUUCAAGAGAUGAGCAUUGGUGAAAGGAUGGUUAGCUUUAUUCAGGAAUCCAACAACCCAGGGGAGGCAGUGAACUAGUGUUCAAAGACCGCCGAGUUCUGUCUCCAUAUCAGGGGUUUUUAAGGGAAAUUAGAAAAAAUGAUGAUCAAAACAUUCUUGUGAAAUGUGCAGUCUCAGGUCAUUGCUUUGUUGGUCAUUGCUUUCUUGGUCAGUGUUUUGUGGCCUUCUGUAGGUGCCAUCAGCCUAUUCUUAUCAGGCUGGUCAGCCCAUUCCCAGAGUUGUUAGUCUGCAUAUUUUAAUUCUCUUAUCUCUGUUGAAG